GGGGUCAAACUGUACGUUGUAUGUGUAAACAAUGAAAUCCAUAAGCGUAUAGCUUUUCCCCUU
rnacentral:pre_miRNA from 1 species